UUACUGAUGCAAGUUCAGUCGGGGUAGGGGCCAAGCCGCCCCGUAGCUAGCAGGCAGACGUCGGCGAAAUCCGGCGGAUGAAGCCCUGUGAAAAGUCGCGCUCUUGCGAUGAAGCAAAUCUGCAGGCCGUAAUGAAA
rfam:Paenibacillus sp. Soil522 contig_68, whole genome shotgun sequence.